rnacentral:rRNA from 2 species
UCUGGCUCAGGACGAACGCUGCGGCGUGCCUAAUACAUGCAAGUCGAACGAACUCUGGUAUUGAUUGGUGCUUGCAUCAUGAUUUACAUUUGAGUGAGUGGCGAACUGGUGAGUAACACGUGGGAAACCUGCCCAGAAGCGGGGGAUAACACCUGGAAACAGAUGCUAAUACCGCAUAACAACUUGGACCGCAUGGUCCGAGCUUGAAAGAUGGCUUCGGCUAUCACUUUUGGAUGGUCCCGCGGCGUAUUAGCUAGAUGGUGGGGUAACGGCUCACCAUGGCAAUGAUACGUAGCCGACCUGAGAGGGUAAUCGGCCACAUUGGGACUGAGACACGGCCCAAACUCCUACGGGAGGCAGCAGUAGGGAAUCUUCCACAAUGGACGAAAGUCUGAUGGAGCAACGCCGCGUGAGUGAAGAAGGGUUUCGGCUCGUAAAACUCUGUUGUUAAAGAAGAACAUAUCUGAGAGUAACUGUUCAGGUAUUGACGGUAUUUAACCAGAAAGCCACGGCUAACUACGUGCCAGCAGCCGCGGUAAUACGUAGGUGGCAAGCGUUGUCCGGAUUUAUUGGGCGUAAAGCGAGCGCAGGCGGUUUUUUAAGUCUGAUGUGAAAGCCUUCGGCUCAACCGAAGAAGUGCAUCGGAAACUGGGAAACUUGAGUGCAGAAGAGGACAGUGGAACUCCAUGUGUAGCGGUGAAAUGCGUAGAUAUAUGGAAGAACACCAGUGGCGAAGGCGGCUGUCUGGUCUGUAACUGACGCUGAGGCUCGAAAGUAUGGGUAGCAAACAGGAUUAGAGGGCGGGGUAAGUCCAUACCGUAAACGAUGAAUGCUAAGUGUUGGAGGGUUUCCGCCCUUCAGUGCUGCAGCUAACGCAUUAAGCAUUCCGCCUGGGGAGUACGGCCGCAAGGCUGAAACUCAAAGGAAUUGACGGGGGCCCGCACAAGCGGUGGAGCAUGUGGUUUAAUUCGAAGCUACGCGAAGAACCUUACCAGGUCUUGACAUACUAUGCAAAUCUAAGAGAUUAGACGUUCCCUUCGGGGACAUGGAUACAGGUGGUGCAUGGUUGUCGUCAGCUCGUGUCGUGAGAUGUUGGGUUAAGUCCCGCAACGAGCGCAACCCUUAUUAUCAGUUGCCAGCAUUAAGUUGGGCACUCUGGUGAGACUGCCGGUGACAAACCGGAGGAAGGUGGGGAUGACGUCAAAUCAUCAUGCCCCUUAUGACCUGGGCUACACACGUGCUACAAUGGAUGGUACAACGAGUUGCGAACUCGCGAGAGUAAGCUAAUCUCUUAAAGCCAUUCUCAGUUCGGAUUGUAGGCUGCAACUCGCCUACAUGAAGUCGGAAUCGCUAGUAAUCGCGGAUCAGCAUGCCGCGGUGAAUACGUUCCCGGGCCUUGUACACACCGCCCGUCACACCAUGAAGAGUUUGUAACACCCAAAGUCGGUGGGGUAACCUUUUAGGAACCAGCCGCCUAAGGUGGGACAGAUGAUUAGGGUGAAGUCGUAACAAGGUA